AAAACGACUCUCGGCAACGGAUAUCUCGGCUCUCGCAUCGAUAAAGAACAUAGCGAAAUGCGAUACUUGGUGUGAAUUGCAGAAUCCCGUGAAUCAUCGAGUCUUUGAACGCAAGUUGCGCCCGACGCC
rnacentral:rRNA from 1 species